AUACGUAGGGGGAGAGCGUUGUCCGGAAUGAUUGGGCGUAAAGGGCGCGUAGGCGGCCCGGUAAGUCUGGAGUGAAAGUCCUGUUUUUAAGAUGGGAAUUGCUUUGGAUACUGUCGGGCUUGAGUGCAGGAGAGGUAAGUGGAAUUCCCAGUGUAGCGGUGAAAUGCGUAGAGAUUGGGAGGAACACCAGUGGCGAAGGCGACUUACUGGACUUUAACUGACGCUGAGGCGCGAAAGUGUGGGGAGCAAACAGGAUUAGAUACCCUGGUAGUCCACACUGUAACCGAUGAAUGCUAGGUGUAGGGGGUAUCGACCCCUUCUGUGCCGCAGUCAACACAAUAAGCAUUCCGCCUGGGGAGUACGGCCGCAAGGUUGAAACUCAAAGGAAUUGACUGGG
rnacentral:rRNA from 1 species